rnacentral:rRNA from 1 species
UUGCAGGCUGCAACCCGCCUGUAUGAAGUUGGAAUCGCUAGUAAUCGCGGAUCAGCAUGCCGCGGUGAAUACGUUCCCGGGCCUUGUACACACCGCCCGUCACACCAUGAGAGUCGGGAACACCCGAAGUCCGUAGCCUAACCGCAAGGAGGGCGCGGCCGAGGGUGGGUUCGAUAAUUGGGGUGAAGUCGUAACAAGGUAAC